rnacentral:rRNA from 1 species
GCUCAGGAUGAACGCUGGCGGUCUGCUUAACACAUGCAAGUCGAACGAGCACUUCGGUGCUAGUGGCGGACGGGUGAGUAACACGUGAGAAUCUACCCUCAGGAGGGGGAUAACGGCUGGAAACGGCCGCUAAUACCCCAUAUGCCGCAAGGUGAAAUCUUUUUUGGCCUGAGGAUGAGCUCGCGGUGGAUUAGCUAGUUGGUGGGGUAAUGGCCUACCAAGGCGACGAUCCAUAGCUGGUCUGAGAGGAUGAUCAGCCACACUGGGACUGAGACACGGCCCAGACUCCUACGGGAGGCAGCAGUGGGGAAUUUUCCGCAAUGGGCGAAAGCCUGACGGAGCAAGACCGCGUGAGGGAUGAAGGCCUUUGGGUUGUAAACCUCUUUUGUCAGGGAAGAAGGACUGACGGUACCUGACGAAUCAGCAUCGGCUAACUCCGUGCCAGCAGCCGCGGUAAUACGGAGGAUGCAAGCGUUAUCCGGAUUUAUUGGGCGUAAAGGGUCCGCAGGUGGUUUUUCAAGUCUGCCGUCAAAGCGCGGAGCUUAACUCCGUACAGGCGGUGGAAACUGAGAGACUAGAGUCUGGUAGGGGUCGCGGGAAUUCCCAGUGUAGCGGUGAAAUGCGUAGAUAUUGGGAAGAACACCGGCGGCGAAAGCGCGCGACUGGACCGGAACUGACACUGAGGGACGAAAGCUAGGGGAGCGAAAGGGAUUAGAUACCCCUGUAGUCCUAGCCGUAAACGAUGGAGACUAGGUGUUGCCCGUAUCGACCCGGGCAGUGCCGUAGCUAACGCGUUAAGUCUCCCGCCUGGGGAGUACGCACGCAAGUGUGAAACUCAAAUGAAUUGACGGGGAAAACUCAAAUGAAUUGACGGGG